GACGAACGCUGGCGGCGUGCUUAACACAUGCAAGUCGAACGGAAAGGCCCUGCUUUUGUGGUGUUCUCGAUUGGCGAACGGGGGAGUAACACGUGAGUAACCUGCCCCUGACUUUGGGAUAACUUCAGGAAACUGGGGCUAAUACCGGAUAGGAGCUCCUGCUGCAUGGUGGGGGUUGGAAAGUUUCGGCGGUUCGGGAUGGACUCGCGGCUUAUCAGCUUGUUGGUGUGGUAGUGGCUUACCAAGGCUAUGACGGGUAGCCGGCCUGAGAGGGUUACCGGCCACAUUGGGACUGAGAUACGGCCCAGACUCCUACGGGAGGCAGCAGUGGGGAAUAUUGCACAAUGGGCGGAAGCCUGAUGCAGCAACGCCGCGUGCGGGAUGCCGGCCUUCGGGUUGUAAACCGCUUUCGCCUGUGACGAAGCGUGAGUGACGGUAAUGGGUAAAGAAGCACCGGCUAACUACGUG
rnacentral:rRNA from 1 species